UUGUAGCAAAUCCUGGACCGGUUGUGACAGAGAAGCUGCAUUUGUCUAAUUUUGUAGAGUUGAUUGGGGUGGAGAACGUGUUACUCACUGUUGCAGAUGCUGUUCGCAGGUGUUCUCCCCCUGCAGGACCAUGAAAGAUGUCUGGCGUUGCGACUACAUCCAAAGAAGCCUUACUUGCAAACCGCAAUGGGUUGGAAGAGAAGCAAACAAAGUUGCCCAUUUUAUUUGAUUUCAUUGCAAGAUUGGUUCCUUUGGUCAUUUUCCCUUUCCCUUGAGCUCUUUGCUCAUUGCUAAUUUUUUUCACUCUAAAUUGGUAACAAUUAUACUAAUAAAUUAGUACAAAUAAAGAGUUAAUAACUUACAAGUUUUAUUUAUCCACAUAGAAUCUAAUCUUAACACUAAGAAAUUGAAAAAAGUUUGUAUUUCAGCUAAAAUCACAUUGAAAGGUCUAAUCUGAUAUGAUGUAAGUGUGAUAUCAAAGGUUAAUGAAUGCAUGUAGGCUUUGUUUCAUUUUUAUUCCUAGUUAUAUCAAACAUAAUAAAGAGGCGUCAUCAAUGUCGUGCAUUGCUGACACAAAUUACCUCUCAGAAUCUUCAAAGGGCAUAGAAGAGGCAAGCCAAGUCAACAUUGCAGCUGGAAGCAAACUUCAUUUUCUGGUAUAUUUACAGCUACAUUCUUUGUGGGGAAUCAUCCAAGCAACACUUGGCUUCUUUAGGUUGGGUUUCUUGAUUGACUUGCCUUCUCAUGCUGUGCCAUUGUUGGCUUCAUGGCGGGAGUUGCAAUUACUAGUGCACUCCAACAGCUGAAAGGUCUUUUUGUGGAAUUGGGAGACGAUACUGAUAGGUGUGUAUCGUUUCUUGGCUUUUCUUCUUCUCGCCAGGUUCAGGGGGAAAGAAGAACAAGAAACUCUUUUGGGUUCCGGCUAUUGCGCCUUGAUUUCAGUUAUCAUCUCGACAGACAGCUUGUGUUUAUGGUUUUUGUGCUGACAAGAAAAAGUGUCCAAAUUGUGGGGGCCAUCACAGGGAAUCAAUCCUUGGCCUUUCCAUAAAAGCAAACAUUUAUUUGU